GGUUGUGGCUUCCCCUGCUGUAUAUAGAAGACUCUCUCUCACAGCAGGCAUCAUGGUCCUCUGGCUCUUUAAAUAUUUCCACUUCCCUGACCCUGUAUAAGGAUAUGCCGUAGAUGUGUCCGUAGGUAGUGCGCGCCCUAAAGUCUUUUUCUCUGCAUUUGACCAGCUCUGGAUCUCCGUAAUAGUCUCCAUCUGCUGCAAAAUGAGGAUUAUUUGAUGAGGUGUGAGAGAUCCACGGUCAGGCCUCAAUGAUAUGUUCAACUCUUGGGCCAAAGGCGUUCCUCCCAGGACGUCCAGAUUAUCCUGUUGUGUAUUUCUUCUCCGGUGGCCUGACGAGGUGCUCCUUGCCUUCGGUGAAUACAGAAGGCCACCAAAGGAGGGAGAAUCUAAGCAACACAGCCAUGUCUGAAGCCUGAAGGUCUCGGCAAACUCGCUGACGUGCCAGGCUGCUGGGCAGUCACCAUGCAUCCCUCUGGUUCCAUAAUUACACCUCCUUAUGCUGGUCCUUAAAUCCAAGCAGGCCCAUGCCAUCCCCCAUGAUGUGCACACAACCAUUAGUAACCUUCACCAGAGUCACUACUCAAAAACCCCGGCUCUCAUCAAGUUGGAAGUGACCUAUUCUAACCUUUCGCCUUCUUAUUUCACCCCGUUUUUUUUUUCCUUUUACGUCAUCCCCGAAGGAGAGGGUGAAUGCAUGUUUUGGAUCACC